AGAUUGACCUGGCCAACAAAUAACAGUCUCAAAGGCCAAGGUGGGAAAGGUGAACUGUAACCCUUUAAAGCAAUAAGCACAUUUAAAACCUACCAUCAUUCACUCUAUAGCACAAAUUGCAUUUCCACCUCCUUUGGUCUAGAAAGCUGACAAAAGGGUUAAUGUAGGUCCGGCAGGAACGGCAUCUCACGAUAAUACUGGAAGUGACCACUGGCAAUUGCUGGAAGAGAGAAGCUUCCUGUUUUAAAGCAUCACCACACUGCAGCUACUCAUCUACAGCAACAACACUCUGCUUCCUGGCUAGCUGCUCAAAGCACUCUUGUGGAAGGAAGGAGCACUUCUGCAUCCUCACAGCAUCCCUACAUUUCCUCAGUGUACCAGCAAACAGAUAAUCUUACUCAGGAUUACAGUUGAGCUUCUGGAUGUCCUCGUGCAAGUUUGGGACAGGAGCCUUCAAUAGGGUCGUAGGAAGAAUAUUCCUUUCUUGAAGAAGAUUCACAGGUCUUAACCCUUCUUGCUGUAGACUCAGGCCACCCAUUGAUGCAGUUAAGUGAUUAGUGCCCAGGGCAGGCUAGAGUCAAAUAAAAAUUCAGAAAUUAACACCAAUUAUCUGGCUGAAACCCAGAGUUCAUUUCAAAAGUAAACAUAUUUCCCCUUCAGUUUGUUUUGUUCAUGUAUUAACUGCCAUUGUAUUGAUAUAUUUAGAAUAUUACUUGUUACACAAACUUGGACUUCGGCAUGUAACACAGCAGAGGUAAAAAUUUGUUACAUUUGCUACAAAGUUCUUGAAAUGUUGUUCAGUUUGCUUUCAAAGUUCAGCAAAAAAAAAAAAAAAAACAAAUACUUCAGCUGACAAUGAGAACACAAGGGAAGAGAAACAUGCCAAAAGCAGCUGAAAGAAACAUCCUGAACAGAUGUGAGGAUAGAACACUUCAGAUAGAGCUGGCACUUCAGAAAGGCACUGGCAAAAGCAUUAAUUCAGGCUACAUCCAUCCUCUUUGAACAAACGGUGCUUAACCAGGGAACCACAGAAGCAGCACCUUAGAGAUGUACAACACACACCAAUCAUCCCUUUUCUUUACCCACACACACCCCACAGGCAGUACUGAGACAAAAACCAGACAGUCUUUACCUGGUGGAAAGGUUUUGAUCCAUCUGGAUAUUGCAAAGCAGCUCCAUGCAUUCCUGGUGCUCCAGGAGGAGAAGGAUGUUGGUAGCCUGGGGGUAAGGCAGGGUAAGAAUACCCAACACUUCUAUUCAUCUUAAGAUUCGGGGCAGCAGGAGAAUGAUGUGGAGUUGCUGAAAGCAGAGCAGACAAAGACUUAAUUGCUGAGGAACUGUAUCUUACUCAGGGCAUUAGUACAGCUGGAGAGCUGCUUUAGUUUCUAACCGUAAAUAUUACAACUACUGUCAAUUUUGCAAAGUGCUCUCACCUGCUUUGUGUGUUACAGGCAAAGACAUGCUAACUGUCAAUCCUUCAAAUUUCAUAUUUAGCUUCAACACAGGCAUUGAACCAAGUACAUAUGUUUGUACAUAAAUGCUUAAACUUCUAUCUUUCCCAGACUCUUAAAAGUUACAUGAUAACAGCAACCGUUUUUACUCCCCAAGCCUUACCCAUGAGGCCACCACCUUCUAUCGCAUCGUAGCUGUUUUGCACCACAGACCCAUCACUGGCAGCAGAUGCAGCAUCACCUUUGAAGGAAAAGGAUCAGAAAAAAAAAUUCACAAGUUAUGAAGAUGUUUUAAUGAGUUAACUGCAGAACAAUUUUACUUGCUGGAUGAAUAUUUAGUUUUCUUUCCAGGCUGUGCUCCAAUUUUUUGCAUCAACCUGACUUAGGUUGCUCAGAAAACAACCUGAAUCAAGUGAUUAUAGAAAAGCUAGCCAUGCUGAAAGGAGACCAUGCUAAAAGGAGACCAUGCUCACUAAACAGAACUAUAGUUUUUAACUGUGAAGUCCUGGACUGAAACAUGUUAAUGCUCUAAGAGCCACCCCAAGGAAUGGUGAAGGUCACAGAAAUGCAGUGUCCCAAAACAAUGAGACACCAUUCAGGAGUUACCUGCUUCAGCCAACUGAAACACCCAACCUGUGCACAGAACUUCCAUUUCUAUCCCAAAGAAAGCACCCUGGUAUUUCCA